CCCGGUGAAGUUUUAACGGCCGCAGUUAAAAGCUGUGCUAAGGUAGCGUAGUAAGUUGUCCUUUAAAUGGGGAAAGGAAUGAAUGGUUUGACGUGAGGGAGCCUGUCUUUGGAAAGGAGAAAAAAUUUUUCUUUCCAGUGAAAAGCCUGGAAUAAAAAUAAAAGACGAGAAGACCCUUUCGAGCUUGAUUAAGCUUAUGAAAAAUUUUUAAGUGGAAGUUUGGUUGGGGCAACUAAGGAGCAAGUGAAGACUCCUUUAGGAUUGUGGGGAUCCAAAAUUUUUGAAGAAAGAAAAAGCUACCGCAGGGAUAACAGCGUUAUCUUUCCUGAGAGAACAAAUUGAAGGAGGGGUUUGCGACCUCGAUGUUGAAUUAAGGUUUCCGCCAGGCGUAGAG
rnacentral:rRNA from 1 species